UAAUUGAAGAGUUUGAUCAUGGCUCAGAUUGAACGCUGGCGGCAGGCCUAACACAUGCAAGUCGAGCGGUAACAUUUCAAAAGCUUGCUUUUGAAGAUGACGAGCGGCGGACGGGUGAGUAAUGGCUGGGAACCUGCCCUGACGUGGGGGAUAACAGUUGGAAACGACUGCUAAUACCGCAUGAUGUCUACGGACCAAAGAGGGGGAUCUUCGGACCUCUCGCGUCGGGAUGGGCCCAGUUGGGAUUAGCUAGUUGGUGAGGUAAUGGCUCACCAAGGCGACGAUCCCUAGCUGGUUUGAGAGGAUGAUCAGCCACACUGGAACUGAGACACGGUCCAGACUCCUACGGGAGGCAGCAGUGGGGAAUAUUGCACAAUGGGCGCAAGCCUGAUGCAGCCAUGCCGCGUGUGUGAAGAAGGCCUUCGGGUUGUAAAGCACUUUCAGCAGUGAGGAAGGCGG
rnacentral:rRNA from 1 species